CGAGUUAGCCGGACGGUCGCAUCGCAAGAUGAGGAAAGUCCGAGCAUCACAAGGCAGGGUGCAGGUGAAAUACCUGUGAAGGCGACUUCAAGGAAAGUGCAACAGAGAUAUACCGCACGAUUUAUCGUGUAAGGAUGGAAAGGCGAGGUAAGAGCUCACCGGCGAUGCGGCGACGUUUCGCGCUAUGUAAACCCCACCCGAUGCAAGAGAAAAGGGACAAUGGAUCGCCUGUCCGUCCCCUCAAUCGCUUGAACGCACAGGCAACUGCGCGUCUAGAUAGAUGACCGUUCAAGACAGAACUCGGCUUACAGACUAAUCUCGCAUC
rfam:Clostridium sp. CAG:349 genomic scaffold, scf45